rnacentral:SRP_RNA from 1 species
GCUGGGCGUGGUGGCUCACGCCUGUAAUCCCAGUACUUUGGGAGGCUGAGGCGGGUGGAUCACCUGAGGUCAGGAGUUUGAGACCAGCCUGGCCAACAUGGUGAAACCCCAUCUCUA